rnacentral:rRNA from 1 species
CCUACGGGAGGCAGCAGUGGGGAAUAUUGCGCAAUGGGCGAAAGCCUGACGCAGCGACGCCGCGUGAGGGAUGAAGGUCUUCGGAUCGUAAACCUCUGUCAGCAGGGAAGAACGGUCACUGUGCUAAUCAGCAGUGACUUGACGGUACCUGCACAGGAAGCACCGGCUAACUCCGUGCCAGCAGCCGCGGUAAUACGGAGGGGGCGAGCGUUAAUCGGAAUUACUGGGCGUAAAGCGCUCGUAGGCGGUAUGUCAAGUCAAGGGUGAAAUCCCCGCGCUCAACGUGGGAACUGCCUUUGAAACUGGGAAACUGGAGUGUGGGAGAGGAGAGUGGAAUUCCAGGUGUAGGAGUGAAAUCCGUAGAUAUCUGGAGGAACAUCAGUGGCGAAGGCGACUAUCUGGCACAUAACUGACGCUGAGGAGCGAAAGCGUGGGUAGCAAACAGGAUUAGAUACCCCUGUAGUC